rnacentral:lncRNA from 1 species
CAAAUAGUGCUUGAUCAAGGCUCUUGUUUUCAAGAUACUCAUAGACAAGUGAUCGGUUUACUCCUUCAAUGCAGCACCCAUACAAUUUCACAAGGUUACGAUGCUGCACAGCUGAUAUGGUUUUAAUCUCUGUUACAAACUGAUUCUUUCCUUGGUGCGAUGAUACAGAUAGUUGCUUUACAGCAACAACUCUUCCAUCAGAAAGUGUCCCCUAACGAAUUGAAUAUAUAUAUAAAAAAAAAAAGAAUGAUUGAGAAAAAUCCCAUGUUUGUAAUCAUACUCAUAAUCAUAAAAAAAUAUAUAAGCUCAACAGGAUAAUGACCUACCUUAUAGACAGGUCCAAAUCCACCCUCUCCAAGCUUAUUAGAAGGACUGAAGUCUCCAGUGGCAUUUUUUAGUUCAGCAUAACUAAAAGUGUAUGGCCUAGCCUCCAUACCUAGGAGCUCUGCAAAUUCCAAACAAAGCACAAUCAAUUGUGAAUCUGUUCACUGAUUUCUUACCUAAUCAACAUGUCUUUGCAAAUGCAAAAUUAUCUUUGACAACUGGAUGUUGAUCUGCAAGAACUUGUAUAUUCUUUGGCAAGAUGUUUGGAUGCCUCUUUUUAACAUGCAUCAGAAUACACGUUAUUGCAAAAUAUUUUAAUUCUAGAACUGAUCUUUAGCUUAAAUGUAGUUCAAUAGGAGUUAAAUAGAUAGAAGUAACUAAUGUCCCUCUCUAACCGUCAAAAAACAAGUGGGUUCUUUAAACUGCCUUUUAUCUCCGACUUUUGGUAUAAAAAAAAAAAUGUUCCACAAAGACAGCAGUGGUUUACACCUCUGUUUUAUAUCUAAAACGAUAAUUAGAAAAGAAAAAAAAAACAUAGGUAUACACUAGAUGUUAAAUGUCCUAUGCAAGCAUCUAUACACCAACACCAGUGAAAACAUGAAAAAGCACUUGCAAAUAACGGGCAUCUAUACACCAACACUAGGGAAAACAAGAAAAAGUACUUGCAAAUAACGUCAAAGUGGGCUUUGAAACCCAAUUCAGAAGUCAGAGCACCAACAAUAUGAACACAACAUAACGUUUUGCAUUACCUUCGUCUUGGUUUUCAUAUGGCUUUUUUCUUCUUAGAACGAAAUAAUAAACAGAGAAAACAGCUAGAAAGCACACAAGUCCAAGGGCAACAGCAAUUCCAACUAUCAAACCAGUCCUAUGCUUCUUCCCAUUUGGAGCAGUGUUAGGCACAGUAGGCUCAAAAUCUGUGUAAAUUUAGCAAUCAUUCAGUAUCAGUAUGAAAGUAGAUCAACAUUUUAGUUACUGAUUUGCAUCAAAUAGUUUCUAAUUACAUUACUUGGGGUAGCACUGAUUGCUGAAAUAGAAGGUCCAUAUGUCCCUUGAGCAGGUACACAGCAAGUCCCUUUUCCAGCCCAAAAGAGAUGGAUUUCAAUGUAAUUUUCCAAUACCUGAGCUGUGAAUUCUUUCUUAACAGCUUGGAAAGAGACCCCCCCUGCCUCCUUUCUUAUGUCAAAAUCUUUUAAAAUUAAAUCUCCCUGGAAUAAAUGAAUUAAAACAUAGAUAAAAAAAAAAAAAAAAAAAAAAAAGGGAAACAUAUUGGAGAAUGUCUUCUUAGGAAUUUGGGAAUAGAAGAAUUCAUUUAAGUUUCAUUCAUUAUGCCACAACCUGAGAUUAUAUCAUGAAGGAAUCAGGAUAUUGAUGGUUGAGGGAACAUAUUUUGUAUAAGAAAGAAGCUGGAAUUUUCAUUCUAUAAUUGUUAUUGUUAAGAAAACUUUUAGGAGUUAUUCUCAAUAUUCUGGCACUUUAAGUACCUAUUGAAUCAAUAAAUCACCAAGAAAAAGAUAAAUAAAUAACAAUAAAUUGCAAUAUCAAGAUCUGUCGAAAUUUUUCAAAAUAAUUACAAAUUGAUUCGAAGUAAUGAUGAAUUACAACCUACUACUAGGAAAUAAUCACAAUGUUGGUUACUCUGAAGCUUGAGUUUAACAAAGAACAGUCAAAACACAGUUUCUUGCACAAGUCCUUGUUUCAAUACUAACCUGGAUAUAAAUAUCGAAGACACGCCUUCCAAGAGUCUUCCAAGAAUUUGAAUUAACAAUUGCUGUCUCUGCAAAUUGGAGGGUCAAAGUAUAGUUUCCAUUCUUAAGGCCUAAGCCAUAGUAUCUUAACGAUCCAGCAGAGAUCCUUGCUGUUUGGAACAGCUCUGAGUCUAAAGUAUUUGUGAAUAGAGAUGAGGACGUGCUUGUGUAAUUGUUGCUUCCGGAAAACUUUCCAACAUUGCUAAAUGCCCACCUGUUUGUGUCAGUCACAUAGUAUGUAGCUGGACCAAGAGUUUCACUAUCCCUCUCAAACACGAUCUGAUCAGAAGAUGUAAUCUGAGGACCACCACACUUGAUUGCGAAGUUGUAAUCUGUACACCAAUAUAAAAAGCAGCAUUUAUCAAAGUUAAAGAAGUGAUUUGAUUUUUUCACUAGACAAGUUAAAUUCACCUCUAUCCUUUUGUUUUUAAAUGAUUAUACUCAAGAAUAUUGACGAUUAAUGAAAUAAUUCAUACUUGAAGGAUGCAUAAAGUCAUUUUUCAAUGCUCAAAACUGACAUGAAUCAGCAGCAAACCUUCAUAUCUGUUUGAGUGGCAAUUCCAAAAAAAAAUUCUGACAUUUGUUACUUCAUAAUAUCAUUUUACAACUCUCUCAUCCCAAUUCACCCCUUAAAUUGAUAACCUGUGAAUUUUCCACUAAAGGAGAAACUUGUGCUAUGAUAUCUAUUACAAGGCUCUCCCUGGACCUAACUAAUCAAAUGUCUUGACCCACAAGAAACAAACCUCAUUAGUUUCCCUUUCUUGAGUCUUUGAACAAAUGUGUCCUGGAGAAAGAAUAAAACCCAAGGCAAGAACACCAAUCACUAGCAUGACUUGCCCAGUCUAGAUUAAAAUCGGCACUCGAGUAAAGAAACGAUUUUCCUACUCUUAACUCAACACAAGUUUAUAGAAAUGAGAAAUACAGUUUACAAUAUUGACUGUAUUCUUUUUGGUGACACUGAUACUAUAGUAUAUUUCUCUCCUUUUCAUGCCAUAAUACCUAAUAAUAUGUUCCACCACUGAAAUCAUGAAAAAGGGAAUGGUUCUGCAUUGAACUUACAAAUUCCGGAACCUCUAUUGCAAGGAAAAUUUUGUUGAAGGCAGUUCAAUCCUGAAGGAAGAACACUGUAAACACAAGAAGAAGAACAUACUUAGUUAAGCCAGAAAUGUAAUGAAAUUAUUGGAGCACCAUACAUUCACUAUUUUAGAAUAUUCUGCAAUUUUCAGACAUUAAGCAUUGAGAGAAAACAUUUGCAUAUUUUUAAUGAAUAAGCAUAUCUUCAUGGGUUAAAAUAUGGAAUUGAAAAAAUCACCUGCUGUUUGAACUGUCUAGUGUGAAGUUGUUGGCGACCAAAUUACUGCAUAUUCAACCCCAUAGAGAAUCAUAAAGUACAAUGUUAGUUUCAAUAUCAAUUGAUACAGAACAUAGCUCAUGUUACAAAAUGCAAGUUUCAUAUGAUCAUUGAAGAAGCAACGAAAUAUGCCAAACCUGAAAGCUGGUUGGUUAAAAUAUUACAGGCUUUACAGCAUUGCAAUUUGAAUAUCAAACUAGAAACUUUUGAGCUACAAAAUUUUGGAAAAUAAAUAAAUAGGAAGAAUAGGAUUUUCAAACAUACAGUUGUAAAUUCUCUUCAUCAACCCAAGAAGGAAAGCUCCCUGAUAGUCCAUUGUAUGACAAGUCACUGCAGGCAUAACAUAAUGGGAAUGUUAAGUAUAUAGUCCACCAACUGAUAGCCAAAAUUGUGGUCAGUCUUAAAUUUAGAUAUUGGAAAAUGUUAAUUUAGUCAGUGGAACUAUAUAAAAUUGGUCAAAUUGAGCUUAAAGCAGUGAUUUUUUCACACUACAAUAAUCUCAAUCCAGAAUCCUCAUGUAUGUUUCUCCAUUUUUCUUCAUAUGCAUAAAAUAUUUAAAUGAAAACAAUGGUACUGUACUAUUCUUCUGGGCUUGGUCUUUGAUCUGUUGCCCACAUCGUGACCCCUGAUAACCAUCUGUAUGCACCAUAAUUCUUUCAAACUAGCAAAAAUGACACCUAAACCUACAUAAUGCUACCUUACAUACUGAACGAGAUAUGAACGCUCAAACUUUUGAGAGGGGGAAAAACCAAAUCAAACAAAAGGAUAGACCUCAGGACUAAAAUUCUGUCCUAGGGGAACUUGAGGAAAAGAAAUUUUCUAAUAGAUUUGUAACUGAUGAAAAAGCAGGUACCACCUUCUUAUUGGAAGAAGUAGCUUUAAAUGUUUCACCUUCAUAGUUUAAUUUCAAAGACAUAACAUUAGAUACCACAUAUAAUUGAAGCAGAGGUCUUUUUUUUUUUUUUUUCUUCUCCAAAGUUGCUUCCACAUCACAAUACAAACAAUAUAUUUCAGCAGCUAGUAGGAUCCUGAUUCUUAUUUUAGUAUCACCACAUAUCGGCAGCUAGACUAGUUCUUAGUGCACAUUGGGAGAAGUACUAAAUGAUUUUUGGGGCCUACAAUAUAUAGAUCUUUAUUGUUUCACAUAAGAUAUUUUAGAAAUGAAACUUGCCAUUCAACAGAAUUCAUAGCCCUAGUCCCUAGACUUAGCAUAAUAAUGAAAUAAGGAAUGAAGAUAUUUGCUAGAUACAUCGAUUUUGAAUACAUUUUAAUGAUUACGGACAUAAAUAUGUUGAAUAUACUUACAUAUUGAGAAGAGAUGUACUUUUCAGUGAAGGUAGAGUACCAGUUAACUGAUUAUUUCCCAGGAACCUGAUAAAAAAGACAAUAAUACAUGCUUCACAAUGCGAAGGAAUAUCUCUUGGAAGCAUAUGAAAGAACUAAGGAGGCAGGGACCAUUACAAGUAAGUGAGUUGACUCAAAUUGAAGAGAGAUUCUGGAAGUUGUCCACUUAGAUUGUUGAAACUCAAAUCCCUGCAUAAAUAAUCCAAAGGCUAUAACAAAUAGGAAGUAGCUGUCAUUGAAAAAAUAAAUAUAGAUAAGAAAAAUGAUCUCCAUGUGGCUAAAACUAAUAAAAUCUCCGUCACCCCAGCUGAAUCAAACCAAGAAAAAUGGGCUUCUGUUGAUGGCUAACUUUUUUUUAAUGCAAUCACAAACAUGCUGAGCUCUACUUAGACCCUGGAUUAACUUACCUGGCAAGUAUUUACUCAUUUAGAAUUUACUAAAAUUAAUUGUAUUAUAGAUGGAUUGUUGGGUUGGUUCCUUGUGACUAUAAAAUGAGUUGUGCUCCAGAAAGUUGGUUGUUUUGGAGCCAAUCCUAAAUUUAACCUGACAUGUUGUUAAUGCACAAAAGCAACAACUAUAAUCGUGAAUAACUUACAGCUGAGUCAAACUUCCAUAUUCUCCAAUAUUUGAUGGAAUAGAAUCAGAGAUAUUAUUAUUCCUUAGUACUCUGCAAACAACAACCAUCUUGUUAUAUUGAAAUCCCAUAUCAGAAGCUUAAGAGCAAAAGGAAAAAACAAAAUCCAACUGUUUUAUAAGCUAGAAGCAUGUUGCCUUACAAGGUGCUUAGCAACUUCAUAUUCUUUAUAAAUUCCAGUGAAGAAGAGCUCGCAUUAGAUAUAUCACUUACUCUCCUGAAUUUUAUAUAGCACGAGAAAAGGUUAAUCAUACAGAUCUGCUACAUAUGAAUGGAAAUAACUGACAGAUUCUACACUUACAAAUCGGUCAAAGAGGUUAAAUUGGAAAAUGAUGAGGGGAUGGGACCUUCAAAAGAGUUCCCCUGAAGCCUCCUACAGAAACAGUUUGAAGAAGCAGAUUAUAACUAUGUGGAAGUACUCUAUAAAGUUGAAUAUCAUGGUAAAUAUGAAAGGAUCACAUCCCUUAAAAGAUGUACAGUUACUUUGAGUUUAUAGCAUAAAGUAAAUUCAGGCAUGUAAUCUAAGCAUAAGUGAAGGAAAAUAAUGAUUAAAAAACUGAUAACAUUGCCUUACAAGACAGUGAGCUUUGACCAAUUCCCAAUGAAAUCAGGUAUGUUUCCUGUGAGUUCAUUAUCUGACGCCCACCUGAGAGCCCCAAAAAUUCUUUUAGAAAAUUAUAUGAGGACACCUUUUUCUCAUCAAGAUAUAGUACAACAAUCCCAAAAUGUGCAGACAGAAGGCCAAGAAAACUCUUACACUAUAGUCAGGCUCUGUAGAUUAGCAAAUGUUGAAGGAAUCUCACCACUUACCCCAGAGCUAUCAAAGUAACUGUCAAGGUAAACAGCAUUCAUUAAUUUAAACAAUAUUGAAUUUCUUUUCCUUAAUACCAGCAAAACUUUUCUUCAAAGAUGAUCAGUCAAGUUAAUGAAAUAUGGUCAGUGUACCCUAGAAACAACUCAAAUUUUGUACCCAUGCAUGUGUAGACAAAUCUACCAACAAAAGCCAAGGAACUUCUGCAUUUUGUGUGAAGCAUAUCUCAAUAUUUGUUUGUACUCCUCUUUUAGAAUUAUACUACUUUUAGCCUUUGUGUUGUACUAAGUGAUCAACAAACCAAUAAUACCCCUUCAAAAUCAGCCAUAUGAUAGAAAGAGAUCUAUUCAUCAGUUGCAUCUGAAUCAAUCUAAACCUGUAAUAAUAAACCACUGAAAUUAGGUGGAAAUGAUAGAAAUAGUUACCCAUCCUCUACCUGACCUAAUUCAGAAGGAACUUCUAUUAGUUCAAACAGGUGCAAUUGUUUCCCAAACUUCUUACCAAAUUAUGGUGUGAACCAAGCAUUUAUUAACCUUUAAAAUCUCAUAAGAGGUGCAAGCACUUCAGCAGUUAUAGCUAACAAAAUGUGGCCUAUAAUUUUUCCCUUUCUUGCUUUUGGUGAAGAGCUAUAUAUGGAAAAACAGAGAGCAAAAAGAGAAGGAAGUUCCAGACCAGAAUCAUUGAAAGACCAAAUUUAUUAGUGCCAAAACCACCAGGUUCAAUUGACUUGAUAAUCAUGCGUAUGGAAAAACCUAAAACGAAACAAAGUAUGUCUCAUGGAAGAAGAAUGCUUCAUCCCUUUCCCAAAUUUUGAAAACAUUACCAUAGUGAAACCAUUGAUUGGUUAAACAAUAAUAACAUAUCCUGAACAUUUGUGGAAGCUACACUACUAAGAUCCUAUUAAGCUGUCACCCUAUCUACAGCAGCUGUCUUGUUUUUCCAUAUCAUAGGUUGUCAUCUAUGUGCUUAUUAGUUCAAACCAUGUCCAUUUUGUCAUCCUUCCCUCCACCUCAUAGUCCUUUCAAUUCAAACUGAACAUGUCUCUACUACUAUUGUUCUUCGGGUCUAUGUUUCACACAAACAACCAUCUCAACCAACUUUAUCUAAUCUUCUCCCCAAUAGGUAGUUGGUGCUACCCAUCUGACUGAAUAUGAUCAAUUUGCCGUACAUCCUUUUAUCACAAAUCAUCUUUAGCCUUAAUUUGGUGGUAGGUCUGAAAAAAUUGCAUUAGACCAAAAAAGAGAAAUAUCUCCAGUUCAACUAUAGCCCUACAAAUCCAUAGGCAAAUUCCUAUCUUUAUCAUCCUUCCUUACAUCUAACUAAGAUUACAAAAUGGUCAUUCCUCAAUAUAUUUUGAAUACCAAUCUUCAUUAUCAUCUCAUUUCCACUCCUUACCACAAAAACGGUAUUCCUCAUACCUUGUUUUGAUCUUGCUUGUUUGAAAGCCUAUAUAUAGUUCUAUAUCCCCAGCAUGUACAUUACUACAUUAUGACUAAAAAUCCCCUUCUAACCCUACCAAAUAUCUUAUGCCUGUAUUAUGCUGUUGAUCAUGACAAUAUAUUAGUUUGAUGCUAAAUUACAGUUGUCACAAAGGAUUAUCUUCUUUGGCUAGAAACAAUAGCACUGGAAACUCUCAAGAACCAUUUCCAAAAUGUGAGACCAAAUAACUAAUGUAACCUAACAAGAUUUUCAGCAUGUAUGAUAGACACAUGAUAAAAAAUCAAAAUUAUAUUAGAACUUACAGUUGCUCUAACUUCACCAAAUUCCCAAUCUCAGACGGCAGGGAACCAGAGAAGUUGUUUGUCCCAAAAGCACUGCAAAUUCAACAAAUAAAUGGCUUCAAGUUAACUCCGAUUGGUAAUAUUUUAAAGAUUAUCUUCUUAUAGGUUCAUAUCAUCAGCAAAAAGUACAUGAACAUGGUUUUUAUAACUUGACAAAGCAACACCUUGUUCUGACAUGGUGGCACCAAGCCAAUCAACAUGUGAAAUAUAAAGAAAAAAAAAAGUGGGGGGGGGGGGCAUGUAAAAGAGUUGGUAAGACUAGCAUCUUCCUAAAAUGAAAGUUAUAUGGUGUUGAACAGGGAAAUUUGGAUUGAAGAAUAGUACCCGAGGAUUACUAAAGAAACCUAGUAUAAGAGGAUGGAAAACUUACAAUGAUCGUAAAUCAGUAAGCUGUCCAAGUUCCUUAGGAAGCUCCCCUGAUAGUGCAUUAAUUCCCAGGCUCCUAACAACAUGAAAUUAAACACCAACAAAGAUACCAAUAAAUUUCAGUGUACUAGGAAAUUUCAAAUAAAAAUUUCUAGUGAUGGGCUUACAAGUACUGCAUGCUUGUUAGAUUGCCAAUGGAUGCAGACAGGGGACCUGUCAAAUAAUUUUGACCCAAAUUCCUGUUAAAAAAAAUGGAGAAAAGUAGUGUUACAAAUAACACAGAAUGCAAUUGGAACCCUAGUAAAACAUUUCAAUGGGUUGAUUUUCUGCAUUAAUAAUAUCAAAGAAAAUGAAGAGAUAAAAAUGCACAACCAUAACUACAAACAACGAAUAAGUGAAAUAUGAACUCAUACAGACUGGUGAGGAAAGUCAAAUUCCAUAGCUCAUCUGGGAUUACACCAACAACGUCCAAUGCAUAAACUUUCCUGUAAAGAAUCAUUAAAUUAAGUCUUUUAGUAUAUAGUAAAAGCUUAAGAAGCUCUAGAAGAUGAAAAAGACCCAGACAUGGAAUAUAGAUUUGAAGUGUUGGUUUAUGGGAACCAACUUGAAUGCUGUGGUCUAAGCAUCAGAUUGAGCCUCAAUGUCACUUGGGCAAUGACCACUAAAAACCAAAUAUCAAGCAGAAGGAUUGCAUUUAUAGGAAAUAUACCAACAAUGUUCAAAAUCAAACUGAGUAAUAUUCAACAAUCCAAGCACAAAAACAUGUACAUACAGUUGAGUGAUAUGGCAAGUAGAGGCAUUGUCGUAGGAACAAUCACAUUUGAUUCCAAAAUUAUAGUCAGCGCUAUCAAUGCUGGUCGAGUCAAUGGCAGCGCCGGUGCAUGGUUCCCCAAUUGUUCUCCAUUGGCUCGAUGCUGAGAUUCCCCAUUGUCGAAAUAUAGAAUUCAAAACUCUCACUGCAAUCAAAAUUCAAAAGCUAAGUACAAAUUUGGGGUUUUGAUCUUUCUCAUGUAAAAGUCAAUUGGUGCGGGUAGGAAGCCAUCAAACCCUUCCCAACAUGAGACUCCAGUGACUCACCAUGACCCUGUUGGACAACAAUUUACUUCAAAAUCAUUUCUUUAUAAGUGUUAAAAUCAAUUAUUUGUAAGUGUGGAUGCACAAACUUUUUAUAUCAAAUAUUGGAACAAAAAAAUCAAUCAAAUCAAUAUAAAUUAGCCAUAAUUUUAAUGGAAAACCGAAUCAAACCGAAUCAUUUAAGGUUUUUGUUUGAUUAGAUAUUUGUUAUCAGUUUUUGGCUUAACAACAAAACUCAUGCUGGGAUUUAGGCCCAAUUAAAUUUUAAAAUGGAUUUAUUUUAUUUUGAGUUUGUCUAUUGAUUUAGGUUUAGUUAAUCAAAUUGAUGUAAUCGAUUUUGCUUUUCAUUAAACCAAACUAAACAUUUUCACAAUCUAAAAACAAUCCAAUUUGAUCAAUAUGAAUUGAUUUUUGAUCUAAUUUGAAUAUUUGACUUACACUCCUAUAGUUUGUCACCUAAAAAAUUACAUAGAUGUACAUGUCAAGCUGUCAAGUUGAAUUUAUAUAUAUAGAAAUUAAUUUGAUUAAGUCCGUCCUAAUUCGAGUUAUUAAACAAUCUAACGGCUAACAGCAUAACAGUAUAACAGCUCCUAGAAUGCUUAUCAUUAAUCAAGUUUUGAGAUUUUUAAUCAAAAGCUAUGAGAGAGAGGUGAGACCACAAGAGAAAAAACUAAGAGAAAGAGAGGUGUAGGACUGACAGAAGGGCACCUUCAGACGGAUCAGUGGUAGCAUUGGCUUCAGUGGUUUGAGCAGCAGCUAUGUGAAAAAGCCCAGUCACAUAGACACUACACAAGGCAACAAAGACGCAGCUGACUGAUUGAACUCCGGGUACCAACUUCAUGAUCGACCUAUGACAACCGAUAACCGAGAGGGAAAGAGAAAAAGGGAGGCGCAAUCAGACAAAGGAGCAGAAAGUCUUAUGAAGCUCUCUCCUAUUAUAAUAAUAUCUCUGCAACUUUUUAAUCAUAGACACCUCCCGCAGAAAGUCCACCCCGCAGGCUUUUACACGGAGACGGGUACCCCAGAUUUCAAUGCUAAACAACGGUUUUGAAUGACAUUUUAAAAGUCAAAAUCUGUCUUUUUCUCCCCUUUUUUAUUAUUUUAUUUUCAUAUUUAAAAAGAAAUUGAUUAUGAGAUUAUAUUUCCUGAACUUUAGUGAAAAACCCACCUACUCAAUCAAUCAUUUAUUUAGAUGGGUAAAUUUUCUGAUUCUUAGAAAGAAAUCAAUUGUAUAUUUCCCAGUUGAAUGAUGAAACGAAAUUGAGCUUCAUGAUUUCAAUGAAUUAAAAACACAGUGUUGAGACGGAUGUGGACGGCUGUUACAGCAUCAGCGUUAGAUUGGUUAUGAGGAAAUGGGGGCGAAGGAGGCUGAGGAUCAACAUUCAGCUUCGGCUCUCAUGUUGUGGGCGACAGAGAAAGCGUUGUAGGAAGAGUGCAUGAGCUUCAAGUGUCAACUCUCUUAGACUGAUUCUUUCUUUGUUGGAGUCUCAGACUUAGUCUAAUCGAGGAGGAGCCUAUGUGGAACGAGUCAAGAGUUUGAGAGCUGCUAAGAAACUUAGGGAGGAUGUUAAUGGAGAACAUCAGAUUUCACAGAGAUAACCAGAAGGUUUUGGAAUCAUAAAAAAAUCUCUGUUAUGUGAGCUCUGUUAUUAUUUAUAUGCAAUCUAUACACUGAACUGGACAAGAAAAACUCUACUACUCUGCUACAGUUGGUUAGAGAUUAUAUUCUUUUAAAGUUGCUGAGUUGUAUUCUAACAGAUUAAGAUUAACCAAUUAACUGAACUAGCUAACUGAUUCUAACACUCCCUCUCAAGCUGAACGGGGGUAGAGUCACUGCCAGCUUGUUUUGAAGUUGUUCAAACCAUGCUUCUGAAAGUGGCUUAGUGGGCACAUCUGCAAUUUGCUCUUCAGUGGAAAUAUAUCUCAUGUCUAAACUCUUUAGGCAAUGCCUUUUCAGGGAACAAAUGCACAUCUAUCUUUAUAUGCUUUGUCCUAGCGUGAAACACAGGGUUGGAAGCUAAGUAACCUGCUCCAAUACUAUCUCACCAUAGUAUAGGGUGACCAACAAUUUUAAUUUCCAACUCAUGAAACGAAGACUGAAGCCAAAGAAUCUUAGUGGCAGCUUGAGCUAACGACCUGUAUCCUGAUUCUGUGUCAGAGCGAGCAACAACCUUUUGUUUCUUUAAGCUCCAUUGAAUCAAAUUUCCACCCAAGUACACACAAUAGCCACUAGUCGACCUUCGAUCAUCAAAGCUACUGGCCCAAUCUGCAUCUGCAAACCCUUCAAGAAAUAAACCUUUAGCUGGUUUGAAAUGUAAGCCAUAACCAACUAUUCCACAAAGAUAUCUAAGAACUCUCUUGCAAGCCUUCCAAUGAUCAAUGGUUGGAGCAUGUCAAAACAGACUUAGUUUAUUAACAGAAAAUGAGAUGUUUGGCCUGGUCAUAGUUGGAUAUUGUAAAGCACCAAUUGUGCUACAGUAUAGGGAAGGAUCUUCAAAUGGCUCUCCUUGUGAUAAAGACAAUUUAUUUCCAAAAAGCAUAGGAGUAGAAAUGUUCUUUGCUCCAUUCAUGCUAGUUUUAUUCGAUAAAUUUGUAAUAUACUUGGUCUGAGUGAGGUAGAGACCAGAAGAAUCUCGAUGAACUUCAAAACCAAGGAAGUAAUUCAAUGACCCAAGUGUCUUGAGGACAAACACCACCUAAGUCUUUAACCACUCGAUUGACCUUAGAAGCAUUAGUGCCUGUGAUUAGGAUGUCAUCAACAUACACUAGCAAAAUGAUAAGUGUGUUGCCUUUCUUGUGAAUAAAUAAGCUAGUGUCAGCUACAGAAUUUUGAAAUCCCCAGUCAAGUAAUGCAUUCUUUAGCUUGUCGAACCAAGCUCUUGGGGCUUAUUUUAAUCCAUACAAGGCAUUGUGUAACCUACAAACAUAACUUGGUUUGGCUACAUCAACAAAGCCUAUAGGUUGUGCCAUGUAUACCACCUCUCGCAAAUCACCAUUAAUAAAUGUAUUGUUGAUAUCAAUAUGUUGAAUGUCCCAACCCUUUAUUGCCAAUGUUAAAAUAACUCUAAUGGUAGAAGGCUUAACCAUAGGACUAAAAGUUUCAAAAUAGUCUAAAUCAGGUGUUUAUUGAAAACCCUUUGCCAUCAACCUCGCUUUAUAUCUUUGAAUGGUUCCAUCCGGUUUGUAUUUAACUCGAAACACCCAUUUAUUCUCAACCACAUUCAUUCUUGUUUAAUAAGGCACCAAACUCUAAGUCUUAUUGAUCAUAAGAGCUUUAUAUUCAUCCAUCAUUGCAAAUUUCCAGUUUGGAUCAUUUAGGGCCUAAGCAAUAUAAGUUGGUUCUGAUGGAGAUGAUGGCUUACAUGUUGGUGUUGUGGUAGUGGAGUUAAAGACCUUGGGUUUUUAGAUACCAUAUUUUGACCUUGUUUACAUGGGAUGAAUGGAGGUUGAAGGAGGAUUGGAUGAAGUAAAAGCAUAAAUAAGCUCAACAUUAGGUUUAGAUGCAGGGGAAGAAAUUCUAACAGUGGACGUAACAAAUUCUAUAUGCUGAUUGUGAGGAACCUGCUCAUAUGCAGGGACUUCUCUUGGAAUGGUUGCUUUAGUUAUUGUACCAAUUACACAAUCUGAAAAAUGAGAUGUAGUUGAAUGGAAGUUAUGAGAAUGAGUUGGAAUUACAAAAAGGAUUUGAGAUAAGAAUGUAUCAGGUUUGGAAGUAGAUGAGGAAAGGAAAAGACUAGUGGAAAAAGGAAAUUCACUCAUUAAAAUUAACAUUCCUUGCAAUGUAAAGACGACCAGAUGAAUGAAGGCACUUAUACCCUUUGUGGUUUGAACUAUAUCCCAGAAAGACAUAUUUGGAUGUGUGAACGUCAGAUUUAUGUUUGUUGUAAGGUUGGAGGAGCAGAUAGCAAGCACAACCAAAAGAUUUGAAUUAGGAAAUGGUAAUUUGUUUUUUGUUUAAACAAGACUUCUAAAGGUGAGAGGUGGUUGAGAACUAGAGUUGGAAGUUGGUUUAUCAAAUACACAACAGUUGAGAAUGAAUCCCACCAAUAUUGAAGAGGCCUAUGAGCUUGAGCUAAAAGAGUUAAGGCUACUUCAACUAUAUGUCUAUGUUUCCUCUUAGCUUUCCCAUUUUGUUGAUGUGUGUGGGGACAAGGGUGUCUAAAAGUUAUGCCUACCAUUACUACACUUUCCCGUUGCAUCCACUUUUGGUGCAUGAUUAUUGUAGACUCUCUACAUUUUUUGUAGCCCUAGUAAUCCACCCGUCAAGGAAUAUAUUAUAAACUGAGUUUUAUAACAUCUUGCCUACAUUGUAUAACAUCUCAACUACGGAGUGCACCUAAGGCGAGAUUUCUUUGGAUGUUGAAUCCUGGAGGCUGAACGUUGGUUCCCUUGUACACCGAGUUCAUCUUUGAGGCGGAUGGUUCUACUUUAAGGACGGUGUCUUGUCAUUGCUUAGCCAACUUAUUUCAAUAAGUAUUCAUUUUUCGUUUUUUUGAUUCUUGUUUGUUUGUGUUUGUGUUUGUUUGUUUUGGGUUAAGUCAAAUUUGUUUAUUGAUUAUAUCCUUGAACUAACAAGCAUCACCCAAGGUCAUCUUGGAAUCACUCAUGUUGUUGGCCUCUUCAUACCGCCUCCUUUAUUAACGUAUGAUUGUCCAUUAUAGUUGUUUGUUGUUUUUUUUUUAUUAUUAUUGUUGUCUUUGACACUUGGUGAUCAUACACAUUUUGGGCGUUUUCCUUAUGCACCACUUAUAUGUCAAAAGUAACAUGUAGAAAGUUAAGCGAGAGGCACACCACCUAGAAAUGCAAUCCUCUAUAUCAAGAUCAUUCUUUAAAUAACACCCUUAACAUCCAUGGAUUAUGAAUACCCAAUGAACUAUGUGAAGGGGAUCUAACUUUAAUUUUUUUUUUUUCUCAUUUUUAAUGAAAAAGAAAUUCCCUUUUUAGUUGGCGUCAUUUAUGAGAAAUUCCAAGUUUCUUUUUUAUGGAAGCACUGUAAUUUAAUUAUUUUAUUGACAAAUUUUCUACCGCAAGUCAUGAAUGAAUACUACAAAUACAAAAAUUACUCUAAUUUUUUUCACUAUAUAAAAGCUUUAACUUUCAUUUACCUCAAGUCAUGAAUGAAACUACAAAUAUAAAAAUUACUCUAAGUUUUCAUGUUAUAAAAGCUUUCACCUUCAUUUUCAUGAAGAAAACUAAAAACUUCAAGAGAAGUCCUUUUUAGAAGAAAAACUAUGUUCUAUCAUUUUCAAAGAUGAAGACACUUUGUCUUCUUUAUAUUUCUUCUAUAUAUAUAAUGACACUAUUUGGGUAAUUUUAAAACUCUUGUUUCCUUAUGAUUUUUCAUUUAUUGGGUUGGGUCACUUUGACACUUAACUCAUUUCCAUCACUCGUGCAAGAUGAAUUUAAAUAGCUUAAUCAAUAACAUCCAAAUCCAUCUUAUUUUGCUUUUGAAGGUCAUUCAUACAUAUUUCACUUUUAAGGGUCAUUUAUACAAACAAAUAGAUCAUGCAAUGAGCACAUCUACAAUUUAAGAGUUAUAAACUUAUAUACUUGUUAGAGAUAUAUAAUAGCUCAACCCCAAAAUUAAAGAGGAAAAAGUAGUAACCAUAUCUCACUCUACCCCCAAACUUAUUUAGUUAUGUUUUUAAUAGAUACACUUAGUCCCACAAAAUUUUAUACUCUAUAACAUUAUAAAUGUAUUCAUAAUUAUAUUAACUACAAUAACAAUAUAAUAGAUUGAUUGGAAAUAUAACUUGUCAAUAUUACUAAAAUAUUUUUCAUUUUGAGCUCAUGUCUUUUAGAUUCAAAUAAAUUGCUUAUCAAAUAUGUUUCAUAAGAAUAAAUUAUUUCAUUUUUAUUGAAAACAUAUCAAAAUAAUAAUAUUAGUUUAUCACCUUAAAACAUUGUUAGUUUAUCACCUUAAAACAUAGUCAAAAGCAAGAAUGAAAAUUUCUUAAAAUAUCGUGGAAAUUUCAACGAGAUUUUGUAUGUCAAACACUACCCAUGUGGUAAAUGGUGAAGAAAUGCCCACCAAACCCUUUUAAUAAAUUUUUCUAAGGAUUUGAUAAUUUUGGAUUUUCAUUUAAAUUUAGUGAUUUUCAUAUGGAUAUUUCAGUCAAGGCUUUGGUUAAGCCAAUUGGAGUUUGACUAGUCAAGGUCAAAGUUGAUAAAACUCCAAAAUAAAUGAGAGAUUGAGGCUCAAAUAAGGGUUUUCUUUUAUUUCGCACAAAAGAAAAAGGAGUUGAUAUAUAUAUAUAUAUAUAUAUAAACCAUUCAUAUUGGUGGGUCAUGGUCGUGUUUGUGUCAUAUCAAAACCUUGACAUUCUACUAUAUAGGUCAACUCAAACCCGACAUAAAUAAUAAUCGAGUUAAAAACAUAAAUCUAAAUACUAUUUAAUUAUUAGAUAGGUAAUACGCUGUGUAACCCCUUUAACCCAUUUAAUAAUUAGUCUCUCCUACUUAAUAAUCAAGUUGAGUUAUAUCUUUUAUUAUUCUAUAUUAUUAAUGUCUUAUCCAAACAUCUUUAUGUUAAAGAAAAUUAAAAUGAGUUAAAUAAGUUAAAUAGUUUAAUGUUGUAGUUAGGUUAAUCGACACAAUUAUUAAAUGAGUGAAUUCAAGUCGACUUUGUAUUAUAUAGGUUGAUUCAAAAACUAUCUCUUUAUUAAACAAAUUAUAUGAGUCGACACAAAUUUGACCCAAAACCAAUUAUACUCAACCCAAACCAUAAAAAAAACAUGUCAUUCUCAAGUCAUAUUAGUGAAUCAUAUCAAACUUUAUCACCCCUACUUUUUAAUACAUUCAAACCAAGUAUUUUAAAUCUAUUUUCAAGUUGUAUAAAAUUAUUGUUGAAAGUAACAAAUUAUAUAUAUUGAUUUUUUCCACAAAACAACUUUGAUAUAUGUUUUUUUUUUGUCAUCUUUUUGGAGUUUUUUUUCAAUAUUUUUAUAAGUUUCAAUUAAUUUACGUAUCACUAAGAUUUUUUUAAAAAUUCCGUUGCUAAUUUAUGAUAUUUUCUAUAUAUCCAUAAAAUCUACAUUAGAAAUAGAAAUAAAGGUUUAAGCAAACUUAGGAAUUUAAUAGAAAUAAACUUCUUUGAAAAUAUUAUCAAGAUAAAAUAUUUAUUAAAUUGAAAUUUUUAUAAAAAUCAAUAUUUUCAUCCUUGGUCAAAAGUACAAAGAAUAUUUAUAUGGACUAUUAUGAUUGUACUGAGACCUAAGGAUCUUACAUAGUGAGGAUAUAAAGAUUAAUUAGUCAUUUUUCUUAUCUGUCACAUUCCAACAUAUGUAGUAUGAAACACAUGUUAUGUUGGUUUUUAUUUACUUUGAAAGUAUAUGUCAAGUUUCCACCACAUGAACCUUAAUCUAAAACUCUAUACUAGUAGCUUGCAUAAGUUUCGCAUCUAUCGCUCUCCUUAAACCUUCUAUACUAAAACUCAAGUCUGAUUUAAAGAAAAAAAAAUGUAAUUAUAGUUUAUUAAAUUUGGUUAAGAUGUCAUUUAUGAUACACCUCAUAUUGAUAUAAUUAAUCAAGGUAACAAUAAUCAUCUUUAUAUAUUUUUCAUUUAUUUAUUACUGUGUCUCAUAAACACAUUGACUGAGAAGCUUGCUUAAGUGAGAGAGUCAACUUCUGCCUAAUGAUAUACUUUUAAGUGUAUAUUUGUGUAAACACCAAUUUCAUAUUUAAUAAGAUGAAUAACAAAUAUUCAUCUCAUUUUAUCAUGAAUAGAGUAUCAUACAUCCAAAUAAUAGUGAUCCCAUUACAUGUGAUAGAUAUAAGUAAUUUUAAAAAAAGAAAGAAAGAAAGAAAGAAAUCACUUUAACACUUGAUGAGGAAUUUUUAAUAAACUUAAAUAUCCAUAAAAAAAUAUAUAAAUAUUUAAAGUUUGACCCUUAAGUAAUCAAGUUGUAGCCCUAACGCAAAUUGAUGUCAUAUUUUCGGCAUUCGUGUGCUAAAGUCUUUACCCAUGCAAAUUAGUUUGAUUUGAAUGCAUAGUGGUAUCCAAGAUUUAACAUUUAAUUAAAACUGAAAUUAUAUUUAAUACUUACGCAAACAAGUCAUGACUUUAAUGUUGCGUGGUGUUGGACUUUCGACACUUAAUACAACUUAAGUGUUAAGGUCUUUACUCAUUCGAAUUAGCUUGACUUAGGUGUAUAGUGAUGUUUGAACUUUAAUAUUUAAUUAAAAUUGGAACCACACUUAAUACUUAUUGAUUACUACUCAAAAAGAAUACAUUUUAAAAAAUAAUUCUCAUGAAUUUCAUAUAUUUUGAGUAGUAAUUAUGCCUAACAUACCCAAUUAAUACAUUGUUGCCCUUGCAAGAGAUACUAAUUAUUUUUGUAAAGUUUUGGAGCUAUUUCAAGGUGAUAUUGAUGCAUUGAGUGACAAAAGAAAGAAAUGAAAUUGAAAAGGAAAAAUAAUCUUUUGAGGAAGAGGCAAUGUAAUUGGAUUGGGAUUUGGAGUCAAUUGGAGGUAGUUAAAGUGGAGUCAAAAGAAGAAAAUGAAGGAAGUACCAAAGAGGAGCUUAAAAAUCAUAUGGUGCAAUUUCGCAUGAUCAUGCGAAUAUUUUGCAUGAUUGUGCGAAAUGGACUAGAAGAGAGAUUUGUGCUAUAAGCUAAGGAGAAUUUGCAAGUUGAUUUCGCACGACCAUGCGAAAGUUUCGCACAAUCAUGUGAAAUGGUCCAAAAAGUUGUUGUUGUUACUCCUCUUAUUUCACAUGACCAUGUGAAAUUGCUAAGCUCCUGCGAAAUGAUCAUUUUGUUGUUAAACUCUAGAUUGCUUAAUAGAGAAACUUCUAGAAGACUUUUUAGAUGAUGUCAAGUGUCCACUUGACCUUGGCCUAUAAAUAGAAACUUGAAUUUCUCAUUAAAAAAAUAAUUUUAGACACUUUUGAUUGUAGAAUUUUCUAUAUUCUCUCUUAAUAGAAUUUUCUAUUUUUUCUCAUUUUCUCUUAUUUUCUCACUAGCCAAACAUGCCUUGUGAGACUAAAUCUCCAAGCAUGAGUGACUAAAUCUCAUUUUUCUCAAAGGAAUGAGGAUCUAGAGGCAAGAUCCAUGGUGAAUUAGAAAAAUAAGCUUUAAUUGUCAAAGUAAUUUGAUCCAAUUGAUUGAUUACUUGAAUUUUGAGGAUUUUUCUCUUCAAAUUAUCUUGAAUGACUAUUACAUUGCAAACUAAAUAGAUUCAUUAAUUUCUCAAAGCUAGAUUUAAUGAGAUCGAAUAGUUGCAUUGUAUGAAUCAUUGGAAGAUGAUUUAAGAUUAAUUGAAUAUAUAGUUUAAAUUGAUCUCUUGGAUUAAAUAGUCUAAUUUGAAGAGAAAUUAGGUCUAGACUUAAAGCUAAAUCUAAAAUCAGUUUAGAUGAGAAUUUAGGUUUUUAAUCUAACUUGAUGAAAAAUAGAUCUUUACAUCUAAUCACCAUGGAAAUUGUUUUUUAGAAAAUCCUAACUUCGAGAAUUCCUUUUCCUUCUUAAUUUUCUCUUAUUUUACAUUCUUUUGUUCUUCUCAAUUAGAAAUCAUUGUUAUUUUGAAUUUUCACCAUGAAUUGUCAAAUCAAUUUCACUUUAUCACAAUCAUUUCUUUUCCCUCAUUCAAGCCUUAAUUACCAAGAAUAAUCCAUCCUAAUGGACGACACUUAAAAACCAUUACACUAUGAAAGUUUGUAUUAAAACCAUUUUUUAUCAGGUACAAGCUAUUAUAGAAUAGUGAAUUAGCUUAUAAAUUGUGUUUUGAUGUGAUAAAAGAUGACAAAAUCAAUCAAUCACCUAUGUAAACAAGUUAUAACUUGGAUGCUACACAGUAUUGUACUUUUGGCACUUAAUGCAGCUUAAGUGCUAAGGUCUUUACUCAUGCAAAUUGGUUUGACUUGGAAGUGUAGUGAUGUCUAACUUCUCAAAACUUAAUUGAAAUUGGAACUACACUUAACAUUUAUGUAGGCAAGUCAUAACCUUGAUGAUGUGCAAUGUUGUACUUUUAACACUUAAUGCAACUUAAGUGCUAAAGUUUUCAGUCAUGCAAAUUGGUUUGACUUGGGUAUAUAGUGAUGUUUGAACUUUAACUUUUAAUUAAAAUUGGAACCACACUUAACACCUAUGUAGACAAGUCAUGGCUUUGAUGUUACGCAACAUUGUAGUUUUGGCACUUAAUGCAUCCUAAGUGCUAAGGUCUUCACUCAUGUGAAUUGGUUUGACUUAAAGUGAUACCUAUAUCUCAAAACUUCAUUAAAAUUGGAAUUACACUUACACCUAUGUAGGCAAGUCAUAACCUUGACAAUGCAUGCUAUUGUUACCUGCGACACUUAAUGUGGCUUCAGUGCUCAGAUUUUCACUCAUGCGAAUUAGCCUGACCCUGAUAUAUAGUGAUAUCCAACUUCGUAAUUUAAAUUAUACUCACAUUUUUUCUUUUCCUAUUCAUUUUUAUUUAUUUAUUUAUUUAUUUUGUGAUAGUAACUAAACUAAGGUGGUUUCCAUAAAUUGCCUACAUGCCUUUCAAAGAAAAUGGAUCAUGUCAAUCAUAGUUCAAUUUUUUUUUUUAAAUGUUCUAACUAUUACCAAGACUAAAAAUUAAUCUUACGAGCAUAUGUCAUAACUUUUGCCUAAGUCACUAUUUCAAGUUUUCAAUUUAGUGGAUUUUUUUUUUUUUUUUGUGUUGUAAACAGUUUAAGCUCAUGCAGGUCAUGAGCGAUAUGCAUUUUAGGCUCAUAAUUUAAGGAGCAUCACUUAUCUUGAUUUUGAUUAAAAAACAAUAAAUGCAUGUUCUUGGAACAAAGUUUAACUAAGGAUCAAAGUUGAUUUAUUUUUAACCAAACUUGUGAAGAUAUUUUUUAAGUAUUUUGGAAAACAAAAUAAGGAUUUUUGAAUAUAUCUUGAUUUUCAGCCUUGAAGGUGGAUGAAUAACACUUUUGUUUCAUGUUUGAUACUCUUUCAUAAGCUUGUUGAAGAAUGUACUGAGUUUAUACUUGAUUUUAAUCCAAUGAUGGUAAACAUGUGUUCUUCGAGUAAAGUUUAAUCGAGGGUCAAUGAUGACUUGAUCUCAAUUAAACUUAUCUAAAAUCUCCUUGAGUGUCCUGAAGAACCCGACUUUGUCUUCUUUGGCUUUGAAGAUGGAUGAAUGACACUUUUGAUAUUCUUCCAUGAGUUUGUUGAAGAAUAUUUGGAGUUUGAUCCUGUCUUUUAAAGCUUCAUUUUGUGGAUUUAGCUUUUGAGUUACAUCUUUCUUUUGAUAAUGCUUCAUGUUACAGAAAAACACUUACAUUUAGAGAAAUUGGAGAUUUAAAUUUAGAAUCUUUGAAUUUGACUUCUCUAAUGCAAAGAGUUUGUUCCUUAAUUAAAGAAGUUUGCUAAAAAAGAUUUUUUUUUUUUUUUUCCUUUGGCAUAAGUUUGAUUAUUUUUUUCUUUUUGUUACAAUUUAAGCUCUUAUAGGCUAGGAGCAAUAUGCAAUUUAGGCUCAUGCUUUAAGGAGCAACAAUGAAGUGCCAAGGUUUGAAAACAAAUGUAGUGAAAUUUGAUGACACACUCCCUUUAUAAUCGUUGGUGAUGUUUUUGCCCCCAUUGAUAUCAUCUUCAAGUUCUUCAAUAGACAUGUUUUCACUUACUUUUGUUUUUACAACAACCUUUAUGUCAUGUGCUCAUGUAGCCAACUCUUCGAAGGUGCGGGGUCAUAUCCCUUAGAGAAUGUACAAAAGACCCUAAUGCAUGCCUUGUAUGCACAUUUCCACACCCAACACCUUGGACAAUUUAUACUUGCAAUCAAGGUUUAAGGAACACCAAUGAUUGACGUGGUCAACAACUAGUUUGUCUUUCUAUUGUUUGGUAUUGGUAAGAUCCAUCAUGCUUAUAGUUCAUCGGGUGCUAUAGAAGCGGUUAGGGAAUUCACGCUCCAUUUGGUCCAAUUCUAGUUGGUGUUUAAUGGUGUUGUCUUGCAGCCGAGCUGGAACUUACGUAGGUGGAUGAAUGGGCUUAUGCAAGCCCAAUCCAAGUUGUUAGAGAUAUUCCACUCUUGGUCAGUUUUGAUUAGUUUUCAUCAUGGAUUAAAAUUUUGAAGGAAAUUGAUAAGAUAUUUUAAUGGAAAUACCUAGUUUGUUGGUUUUUUGGCAUGAUUUUAGAAAGCACUUAUAGUCAUUUGAUGAUGAAUAUAGAAAACACUUUUUGCCUAAAAAAUGUUUUUGAAAAAAAAAUUGGUGUAUGACAAAAAUUUAAGAAACACUUUUUAAAAUGUGAAAAAUUACUUGUAGUAUUAAAAAAUCACUUCUAGUGUUUUCUAAAGAAACAUUUGAUAGGUUAUUCUUCUAAAAACACUUCAAAAAAAAAAAAAAAAAACACUUCUACUAAAUACAUUUCGCAUAAAAAUACUGUCAAACAGACUUUUAGAGCGAGUUUGAGAAUGAUUUUAGAAAACGUUUCUAGUCUUUUUAAUACUUGAAUGAUAAAAAUUUUCAAGUAUUGAAAAGAUUAUAAACACUUUAUAGAAUCAGUACCAAACAGACUCUUAGUGUGAUUGGUUAUGAUUUAUUAAUUGUCAGCCUAAUCACUUCCAAUCACAUAUCCAAAAGAUACAUUCAGCUUAACUAGCUCAUUUCUGGUUUGUCCCAGCCUGAUCUCCCAUUGAUAUUUUUUCACCAAGUUAACCAGGGCACUAAAAGCCAUACAAUGUCUUGAUAGCAACUCAAAAAGCCACAGUGCAAAGUUCACCUUCAUGACUCCUAUAAACUGAAUAUAAGGUGCAUUUUUGGCCACUGCAUGGACCACUUCAUCACAUGAAUGAUGAGCAAAACAAAGCCCACAACUUCAACCAAAGUUCAUACAAAAACAUUCUAUACUAAAAGUACGAAAAUAUAAAGAACUGACUCGACAGGAACAACCUAUACAUACUUGUAUACUAUACACAUAUACAUGGAAAGAAAUCAAAGAAUUCAUCAGAGUUGUAUGAAACAGCAAAAAUCACACUAAAGCAGAAAAGAAACACUAUUUUUCACCUGCCCUCUCCGAUAAUCUCAUGAAUUUUCGUUUUAGUGGCAGUUACUGGAGAACGGUCUGCAUCAGCUGCCAUGCUGAUACUUGUUGAUGAGUUGAAAUGGCUAUUUUCACUCAUAAAGCUGGAUGCAUCGUUGAACUUCCAAUCUGUUAAGUAUCCGGGCUUUGUUGUAACUCUGGACACUUCAAUAUCUCCUGAAAGCAUUGCCACCGCACGGGACAUUGGUGGCCGUAGUGUUGGUGAUGUCUGAGUGCACAGAAGAGCGACUCCUAUCAUUCUUCUUGCUUCUUCUUCACUGAAUUCUGAUAACCUUGAGUCUACCAGUUCAAUUUCAUGGUUGUUUUCAUGUAGUUGCCAAGCCUAUAAAUAAGGAAAAGAACUAGUUCUUAGAUCCUAUUAAAUGUGAUAAGGGACUAAAUUCAAAUGAUAUCUGAACCAAAAUGGAAAGUUCCAAUUCCCACAAUCUGUCUAGAAAUGACCUUAACAUGUCCAAGAGAUCCAGUGAUGCCCAAUUUUCUUUAUAAAUUAUCAGGGAAUCAGAACAUGUAUGCUUAGGUAUGGAAUGGCCCUGAUCACUACGAGUACCAUGAUGAUUACUGGUAUGAAGACAUUUCACAGGAUAAAACAGAGUCCAAGGGGUAAAAAUAUCAUACCCAUUCAAGAAGAUAAGUCUUUUCUUCUUCCAAACUUGUGUCAGAAUUUGGCCUUCCACUGACAAUCUCUAGAGCUACUACACCAAAACCAAACACAUCGGCCUUUUCUGUGAGGUGCCCACGCAUGGCAUACUCCGGUGCAAGAUACCCACUACAUCAGUAACAUAAAAGCUCAGUUUUAAAGAUUAGAUGAUACACAAACAAAAAAAAAAAAAAAAUCCCAAAAAAGAGAAUAAAAAUGGGACUAAGGGCCUUGACUUUUGAGGAUCUUACAUUGUGCCUGCAACACGGGUGCUUAUGUGAGUCUUCGUGUCAUCAUACAGUUUGGCCAAACCAAAAUCUGAAAUCUUAGGGUUGCGAUGAUAGUCAAGCAGAAUAUUGCUGGCCUUCACAUCUCUGUGUACAAUGCGAACUCGCGAUUCCUCAUGAAGAUAGGCUAGACCCCUGGCUACACCCAAGCAUAUAUCAUAACGGGUUGGCCAAUCAAGGUCCAAACUUCCGUUUCCUGUUCAUGAAUAACAAGUAUAACUGUAUUCAUUGUGUUUUCUUCAUAAGAAAAUGUCAUGAUAGCUAGAGCUGCUAAGGUGCUACCCUUACCAAAUAGUGCUUGAUCAAGGCUCUUGUUUUCAAGAUACUCAUAGACAAGUGAUCGGUUUACUCCUUCAAUGCAGCACCCAUACAAUUUCACAAGGUUACGAUGUUGCACAGCUGAUAUGGUUGCAAUCUCUGCUACAAACUGCUUCUUUCCUUGGUGGGAUGCUACAGAUAGUUGCUUUACAGCAACAACUCUUCCAUCAGAAAGUGUCCCCUAACGAAUAUAAAAUUAUUGCAAAAAAAAAAAAAA